rnacentral:misc_RNA from 1 species
GAUGAAGAACGUAGCGAAAUGCGAUAAGUAAUGUGAAUUGCAGAAUUCAGUGAAUCAUCGAAUCUUUGAACGCACCUUGCGCUCGUUGGUAUUCCGACGAGCAUGCCUGUUUGAGUGUCAUUAAAUUCUCAACCUCAUCGCUUUUGUGAUGAUGGCUUGGAUGUGGAGGUUUUCUGCAGGCCGAAAGGUCUGCUCCUCUCAAAUGAAUUAGUGGGUGCCCCGCGCAAACCUAUCUAUUGGUGUGAUAAUUAUCUACGCCGUGGAUCUUAGGAUUGCUGUAAAAAGGUGUUUGCCCCGCUUCUAACCGUCGUUAGACAACUUGAACCAUUUGACCUCAAAUCAGGUAGGACUACCCGCUGAACUUAAGCAUAUCAAUAAGCGGAGGA